GGCUAAAAGUCGGAGGAAGGUGGGGAUGACGUCAAAUCAUCAUGCCCCUUAUGACCUGGGCUACACACGUGCUACAAUGGGCGGUACAAAGGGUCGCGAACCCGCGAGGGGGAGCCAAUCCCAAAAAGCCGCUCUCAGUUCGGAUUGCAGGCUGCAACUCGCCUGCAUGAAGCCGGAAUCGCUAGUAAUCGCGGAUCAGCAUGCCGCGGUGAAUACGUUCCCGGGCCUU
rnacentral:rRNA from 1 species